rnacentral:rRNA from 1 species
UACGUAGGGGACAAGCGUUGUCCGGAAUCACUGGGCGUAAAGGGCACGCAGGCGGUCUAUCAAGCAGGAUGUGAAAGGGCAGGAGCUCAACUCCUUGCACGGCAACCUGAACUGACAGACUAGAGUAUUGGAGAGGCAAGCGGAAUUCCUGGUGUAGCGGUGAAAUGCGUAGAUAUCAGGAGGAACACCGGCGGCGAAGGCGGCUUGCUGGACGGCAACUGACGUUGAGGCUCGAAAGCGUGGGGAGCAAACAGGA